AAACCAACAGGGAUUGCCUUAGUAACGGCGAGUGAAGCGGCAAAAGCUCAAAUUUGAAAUCGGCCAUCAGGUCGAGUUGUAAUUUGUAGAUUGUACUUUGAGAGCGGAUUAAAGUCUGUUGGAACACAGCGCCUUAGAGGGUGACAGCCCCGUAAAAUCUAUUCUCAUUGUAAAGUACUUUCGAAGAGUCGAGUUGUUUGGGAAUGCAGCUCUAAGUGGGAGGUAAAUUCCUUCUAAAGCUAAAUAUUGACGAGAGACCGAUAGCGAACAAGUACUGUGAAGGAAAGAUGAAAAGCACUUUGAAAAGAGAGUGAAAAAGUACGUGAAAUUGUUAAAAGGGAAGGGUAUUGAAUCAGACGUGGUGCUGUUGUUCAACUUUGUUUCGGCAUGGUGUACUCAGCAGUACUAGGCCAAGGUGGGGUGUUUGGGAGUGAAAAAGGAAUAGGAACGUAGCUCUUCGGAGUGUUAUAACCUAUUUUCAUAGCUCCUCAGGCGCCUCAGGACUGCGCUUCGGCAAGGACUUUGGCAUAAUGAUUCUAUACCGC
rnacentral:rRNA from 1 species